UACGUAGGUGGCCUUUUAAGCGUAGGGUAUAAGGCAAUGGCUCAACCAUUGUUCGCCCUAUGAACUGGAAGGCUUGAGUGCAGGAGAGGAAAGCGGAAUUCCUAGUGUAGCGGUGGAAUGCAUAGAUAUUGGGAGGAACACCAGUGGCGAAGGCGGCUUUCUGGACUGCAACUGACGCUGAGGCUCGAAAGCCAGGGGAGCGAACGGGA
rnacentral:rRNA from 1 species